UACGGAGGGGGCAAGCGUUGUUCGGAAUUACUGGGCGUAAAGGGCGCGUAGGCGGCCAACUAAGUCAGACGUGAAAUCCCCAGGCUCAACCUGGGAACUGCGUCUGAUACUGGAUGGCUCGAGUUCGGGAGAGGGAAGCGGAAUUCCAGGUGUAGCGGUGAAAUGCGUAGAUAUCUGGAGGAACACCGGUGGCGAAGGCGGCUUCCUGGACCGACACUGACGCUGAGGCGCGAAAGCUAGGGGAGCAAACGGG
rnacentral:rRNA from 1 species